rnacentral:lncRNA from 1 species
GCCUGUUGGCCGACUGGCCCUUCUCCACAGAUGUCAUCUUGAGCCUCUUACAGAGUUUCAGCACUGACAUUAAUGACAAGAUGGAUCACCUACAGGACAACCUUGGAUCCUCAACCAGCCUGAUUAAGCAUUGACACUGCAUUUGUCACCACCAGCUCUGAUGGUUUGGACAUGUAGAAAUGUAUUGCAGGAGAAUAUGCAAACAGCUGCUGUAAGGUGAGCUGAUCGGGACAACUGCCAGCAGGCAGAAGGGAAGGCAUAAUUAAUGGGCACCCUUCAGCAGAGCUCAGAGCAGACCAAACGCCAAUGCAGAAGGCUCAAGAAAGAGGCAAACAGACUAGCCACUGCUCCAGGAUGACUGUGGCUCUUUAUGAGUGAAGAGAAAGGGUGGAGACUGAAGACAGAACUGGGGACAGUGACAGGCUUGGGGAAGAACAGCUGAUUCAGCAGUCCCAAGCAUCUGAACACAAGGUGGACAUUCUCCAGGGUGACAUCGCAAAAUACAUGGGUGAAGACAACCUAGUGGCCGUGACUUGGAGCACCCUUCCUCACAAUGAAGGCAUUCUGGGCCAGCCUGAAAAACAGCAUGGAAAUAAAUCACCUAAGUACAAGGGACCUCGGUGACAACGCUGUGAACAUCUAUGGAUUCCGCAUUCAAGUACUUUGUCACAACUGUCUCCACAAUUUGAUGGGUCCACGUGCCAGCAAGAUAGAGAUACUCAUCAGGAAGUUGGCCAUGCAAGUUUGAAAUUUGAGAGAAGAAUCACAAAAAUGCAAAGGCUGUGCUCAAAUAAAAAUGAACUCCUUUGGUA